rnacentral:rRNA from 1 species
UACGGGGGGGGCAAGCGUUGUUCGGAAUUACUGGGCGUAAAGGGCUCGUAGGCGGCCAACUAAGUCGGACGUGAAAUCCCCGGGCUCAACCUGGGAAUGGCAUUUGGGACUGCAAGGCUGGAGUUUGGCAGAGGAGACUGGAAUUCCUGGUGUAGCAGUGAAAUGCGUAGAUAUCUGGAGGAACACCGGUGGCGAAGGCGGCAUCCUGGACCAACACUGACGCUGAGGAGCGAAAGCCAGGGGAGCAAACGGG